ensembl:lncRNA
CAGGAAGGAGUGGGGAGGAGCCGGCGGUGAAGGCUCUCCAGGAUCCACGCGGUUUGUAGCGGCGUCUUCUCUGUCACCUCCAUGAAAGCACCUCAAAGCAGGUGUCACUCUCCUCUCAUGGCACAGAGAACACUAGGCACAGUCCUGCUCUGCAUCCGAGGUAGAUGCCAGCUGGACCUCCUGGCCCAUCACAAAGGACCUGGAGAGCCUGUGGAUUUCAGAGCAGGUCAGACAAGGACUGCCUGGGGCACUUGGAGGAACUGGAAGUACGGGGCCUUGCCUGGCUGCAAACGACACCUACAGUCUGCAUCCUGGCCCGGUUGACAGCCUCAUUGACAGACAGAAGAUCAGUCUCUGAUCCAAAGCAGUUCAAGCCUGGAUUCCUCCACAUUGUUCCCCACCCCCACCUUGGCCUCUACGAAAACUGGAAGCUUCUCCAGCAUCUCUUCAGCCUUGACCCAGGUCUGCAAUCUACCCUUCCCGUGAGGGUGGAGCAGGCCUAGGUGGAGUGGGGAGUGGGGACACACCUCAGCCCAGGUCACACAGCUGCCCUCCUGCUAUGAGGACGUGGGAUCCUGCUGGGGACUCCAGCUAAUUGGGGACCCCGACCCAGGCUGAAGAAGAGAUGAGGUGCCCGGUUAACUGGAAACCAGCCCUGACCGAGAGUUGGGCUCUGUAGCUCUUAAGUUUGGAUGGGGAGGAGGAACUUGGAG